UAGUCCUCUCCCUCCCGAGAGCUCUGCUUUUACGGUUUCUGGAUCGCUUCCUCAUGGUGGUCGCGCUGGGUCGGCUCCCUAGGUCCUGGGAUACUCCCAUCUCCCCCCGCCCGCGGCCGGACCUUUGCCUCUGUCUCUAGACUCCCCCCGCCCUGGUCAGCAGGGAUAACCCUCACCCCGUUCCUAAUUUGCCAGUCUGGGUCUGUCUGCCCUGGUCUCGGAGCGGGUUUUGGGGUUCGGUCCUUCCAUCAUCCGUUCGCCCGCCCCGCAGUGCUGCUCCUGCCUCUGGCACCUGCCGCAGCCCAGGAUUCGACUCAGGCCUCCACUCCAGGCAGCCCUCUCUCUCCCACCGAAUACGAACGCUUCUUCGCACUGCUGACUCCAACCUGGAAGGCAGAGACUACCUGCCGUCUCCGUGCAACCCACGGCUGCCGGAAUCCCACACUCGUCCAGCUGGACCAAUAUGAAAACCACGGCUUAGUGCCCGAUGGUGCUGUCUGCUCCAACCUCCCUUAUGCCUCCUGGUUUGAGUCUUUCUGCCAGUUUACUCACUACCGUUGCUCCAACCACGUCUACUAUGCCAAGAGAGUCCUGUGUUCCCAGCCAGUCUCUAUUCUCUCACCUAACACUCUCAAGGAGAUAGAAGCUUCAGCUGAAGUCUCACCCACCACGAUGACCUCCCCCAUCUCACCCCACUUCACAGUGACGGAACGCCAGACCUUCCAGCCCUGGCCUGAGAGGCUCAGCAACAACGUGGAAGAGCUCCUACAAUCCUCCUUGUCCCUGGGAGGCCAGGAGCAAGCGCCAGAGC
rnacentral:sRNA from 1 species